GAUGAACGCUGGCGGCGUGCCUAAUACAUGCAAGUCGAGCGAACGGACGAGAAGCUUGCUUCUCUGAUGUUAGCGGCGGACGGGUGAGUAACACGUGGAUAACCUACCUAUAAGACUGGGAUAACUUCGGGAAACCGGAGCUAAUACCGGAUAAUAUUUUGAACCGCAUGGUUCAAAAGUGAAAGACGGUCUUGCUGUCACUUAUAGAUGGAUCCGCGCUGCAUUAGCUAGUUGGUAAGGUAACGGCUUACCAAGGCAACGAUGCAUAGCCGACCUGAGAGGGUGAUCGGCCACACUGGAACGGAGACACGGUCCAGACUCCUACGGGAGGCAGCAGUGGGGAAUCUUCCGCAAUGGGCGAAGGCCUGACGGAGCAACGCCGCGUGAGUGAUGAAGGUCUUCGGAUCGUAAAACUCUGUUAUUAGGGAAGAACAUAUGUGUAAGUAACUGUGCACAUCUUGACGGUACCUAAUCAGAAAGCCACGGCUAACUACGUG
rnacentral:rRNA from 1 species